UGUUGUUGUUCAGCAGCUUUCCUGUGGUCAGUCACAGGGCUGUUGUUGUUCAGCAGCUUUCCUGUGGUCAGUCACAGGGCUGUUGUUCAGCAGCUUUCCUGUGGUCAGUCACAGGGCUGUUGUUGUUCAGCAGCUUUCCAGUUGGACUAAAAUUAUACUUUUUCUUUCUCACGUCUCUGUGCAGCUUUCUUCCAUUGAAAAAUCUAUAUUUUGGAUAUUUUGGAGCUGUGGAAUUGUAGUCAGAUUAAAUAUCUUUUAGAACUCUUAACAGUGUUCAGAUUAAAUAUAUUUUGAACUGAUAUUGUAGUGGGAUUUAAAUUCUAUCAUAUGCAUAUUGCUAUAUUAAAGGAGCCUUGUUGCAUCGUCGUGACUAACUGAAUCUAAUCUCUGUCUAGGACCAGAAAUAGCAGGGCAUUGUACAGUAGAAGAGUUGCAAACAUACAAUGUUUAUCUCAGAGCAGGUACCAUAGAUUUACUAGGAUGGGAAUUCCCAGUCAAGUCAAUGUCGUAACAUGAUUGGUUGACUUGUAUUUCUACGGCUGGGCCAUUUCAGUCGUUGGCUUGUCAUGAUGGAAUCUACUGUCUUUCUAAUACCUCAACACUGGUGUUUAGUUUCAGUCAAGUCUCCUUUCUGCAGCACCUGGGACUUGGAAAGGAAACAUCCCUGUCCUUUUAACAUGAGACUGAGUCUGAAGGGUUAAAUCUGUUCAGCUUUGACCAAGAUGCCCUGCAGUCAACAGACGGCACGUUCAGUCAUUGUAGGUUCCCGGUUUCUGCAGGAGGACCCCCUGGUUCUGAUGCUGCUGUAUCUACAGGCUUUCCUGGUUUGUAAUUUCAGUAGCCUGGUCCCAGAUCUGUGUGUUGUCUGGUCCAACUUGACAAACAGCACAAUAGCCUGGUCCCAGGUCUGUGUGUUGUCUGGUCCAACUUGACAAACAGCACAAUAGCCUGGUCCCAGGUCUGUGUGUUGUCUGGUCCAAUUUGACAAACAGCACAAUAGCCUGGUCCCAGGUCUGUGUGUUGUCUGGUCCAACUUGACAAACUGUUCUCCAUCUCUCCUUAACUGAUACCUCCACAUGAUGGAGAGAGGGGGCAUUCGGUUCAAUUUACCCAAUGGUUAAGGGCUCACUGGGUCAUUUAUCCAAUGGUUAAGGGCUCACUGGGUCAUUUAUCCAAUGGUUAAGGGCUCACUGGGUCAUUUACCCAAUGGUUAAGGGCUCACUGGGUCAUUUACCCAAUGGUUAAGGGCUCACUGGGUCAUUUACCCAAUGGUUAAGGGCUCACUGGGUCAUUUACCCAAUGGUUAAGGGCUCACUGGGUCAUUUACCCAAUGGUUAAGGGCUCACUGGGUCAUUUAUCCAAUGGUUAAGGGCUCACUGGGUCAUUUACCCAAUGGUUAAGGGCUCACUGGGUCAUUUACCCAAUGGUUAAGGGCUCACUGGGUCAUUUACCCAAUGGUUAAGGGCUCACUGGGUCAUUUACCCAAUGGUUAAGGGCUCACUGGGUCAUUUACCCAAUGGUUAAGGGCUCACUGGGUCAUUUACCCAAUGGUUAAGGGCUCACUGGGUCAUUUACCCAAUGGUUAAGGGCUCACUGGGUCAUUUACCCAAUGGUUAAGGGCUCACUGGGUCAUUUACCCAAUGGUUAAGGGCUCACUGGGUCAUUUAUCCAAUGGUUAAGGGCUCACUGGGUCAUUUACCCAAUGGUUAAGGGCUCACAAUGUAAUUGUACUUCUGUGUGAUCAUUUGGUUGGAGAAGUCAGUGAGGCACUUUACUGCAGACACUGUGGGCCUUCAGGAACUGGGUCUGCUUGGAUAACUUGGUUGUGUUCCAGACCAGUGAACAUUUAUAUGGGACGUAAUGUUCCUUGGGCUCCAAAUAGGCUUCUUUCUAUUCCUUAUGUCUUGUUUUUGUUUUGUUAAUAGACAGAAAUUGGUUUUAUUUCUGGAAGCAAAAAGACACAUGGAUUUAUAAGGUGCCUUGUCAUCUUAUACUUUAUACUGGAAAAAUGUGAUUUGCAUUUUUUUUUUAUACAAACGAAACAUAUGUAAUUCAAACACGAUGCAAACGUUCACUAAGAACUUAUUUGGCAUUGGAGAUACUUGCCGACAAUGUGAAAAUGUAACCAAUCUCUUGUAAUGAGAAUGAUGGUGGUUUUGGGCCCCAGGUCAGGGUUGUGUUCAUUAGGCAUCAAACAAGAAAACAAAUUGAAACUGGGUUCAAUCACUGAAACUGUUUCCAGCUGCAAAAUAUUUAAACCGUGAUCGGAUCCGUGCCCUAAUAAACACUACCCAGGUUCCCCUAUUGGCCCGAUCACCCGGUCAUCGACCUGAACCUCAUAUCACCAGCUUACAUUGUCUUUUGUUUUCUUGUGAAGUCAUAAGGAUGUAAUUCAGAGCACAGCCCCUGAAGUUUUAAACGUGAAUGUUAAGAUGGGUCCAAGCCACGGUUUGGGGGGGAUACUGCAUCUUAACCUCAAGUCUAAAUCAAGUUCAAUACUUUACUGUGUGAUGUGGUCCAGGCCAGUUGGAUGUAGCCUGAGUCCAUCUGCUUGGGCUAUUAUGCCAACUCAUUGUCAUGCUAAAUGUUUGGCUUGACUGACAGCAAUGAUGUAGGCAAAAAGCACAAACAGACUGGCACUCAGGCUAUUGUGGAUGCCCGCCAGUUAAACUCAGGUUACGUAAAGACAUCUACCUCUGCAGGUGAGAACUGUGAAAGCAGAGCUAGUUCAUGUUCAGAAAGCUUUGGGCCCACAUUCCCCUUUAAGAUUGUGAAAUGUUCUUAUAGUCCUGUCUCUCACUUUUCAAUAAACUAUUUUGUAGUAUUUCAAA